UUUAAAUGUAAUCAUAAGUUUCCACGCCUAACUUUAAUCGUGUCCGUCUUAUUUGAAAAUUUCUUGUAAUUAGUAUUUUCUUAUGAGAUGAUAAAACACUUAUCUUUUUAAAUGAACGAUUAAAGUUGGACAUAAAAAAUCAUGGCUGCACUAUUC
rfam:Oryza sativa Indica Group scaffold000542 genomic scaffold, whole genome shotgun sequence.